UCAUUUCUUGAGUUCAAACUUCAAAGUCUUUCUCUUCUGCUUUUAAGUGCCUCUUUGUAGCUUUCUCGCUCUCCACUCUCUAAUCAGCAGUAGAAGAAGAAGAUUACGAAUGGCGCUCCCAAUAGGACCUUACUCAGGCACAAGCUCACUCGCUUUGGUUGCUCGUGCUUCGGCUUUCACCUUUGGUCUCGUUUAUGGAAGCGUGAAGCUUAAGGUUCUUCAGGCUAAAAAGAAGUCGGCAGCUAAGGCUCAUCAUUAGAGAAUGCACUUCACUAUAUCCAUGGCAUGUUUGGCCUAAGUAUGUUGGAAGCUAUUUUGUAAUAAGUAGGGAAAAAAAUAAUAAUUGUUCAACAGUAAAUCCACUCUUUUCUUGUUUUAUUCCUUUUGUUUCUAAUUGGCAGUUGGCUGUUUACAUGCCAAUGACUUGAGGAUGGUUCUCUUCAUCAUGGUUGCUGGUGUAGUUCGAAAAUCAUGUUGCGGACUACUUUUCUGUGUAUUUUUCAAUUUUAAGAAAACUUGUUGGUAGUUUUCAAUCUACAGUAUUAUUCUCUUUGAUUG